rnacentral:rRNA from 1 species
AUGGCGUCUCGCCGGAGGGUUGAGGAGAGCGUGUGGGUGGCGGACGUGGAUGCGGCGCUGAGCGACCAUGACCCGUCGACGGAGGCAGCGCAGUGGCAGUGGCACUGCAUCUACCGCGUGCCAGCGUGCAUCAAGCACCUGAAUCUCAAGGCCUACCGGCCGCAGGUGGUGUCCCUGGGCCCUUUCCACCACGGCGAGCCGCACCUGCUGCCCAUGGACGCGCACAAGCGCCGCUCGCUCCUCCACUUGCUCCGGCGCGCGCGCAAGCCGCUGUCAGAGUUCGUAGCGGCCGUGGCCGGCGUGGCGGAGCAGCUGGAGGGUGCGUACCAGGGCCUCGCCGACGACCGGCGAUGCGGCCUCAGCUGCGAGGAAGAGAGGAGGGAGAGGUUCCUCGAGAUGAUGGUCACCGACGGGUGCUUCCUGCUGGAGGUGAUGAGGAUGGCGUCCGGUUUCGAGGUGAACGACUACGCGCCCAACGACCCCGUCUUCAGCAACCACGGCCUGCUCUACAACGUGCCCUACAUCCGCCGCGACAUGAUCAUGAUCGAGAACCAGCUGCCGCUCCUCGUCCUCCACAAGCUCCUCGCCGUCGAGACCGGCAGAGAUGAGCAGAACGAGGACUUGAUCAACCGGAUGGUGUGGCGGUUUCUAUCCCCGGCUGCUUGGCCUCCGGCGACCGGCGUCGGACUGGCGCUCCACCCGCUAGACAUCCUCCGCCGGAGCCUGCUCUACGGCCCCACGCAGACGGCUCCCCCCGCGCCUCCGGAUUACGCGGUCGCGGACGACAUCAUCCGGUCCGCCGAGGAGCUCUACGAGGCGGGCGUUCGAUUCAAGCGGAGCCGGACGAGCAGCCUCCUGGACAUCAGCUUCCAUCGCGGCGUGCUCCGCCUGCCGGCCAUCGUGGUUGACGACACCACGGAGUACAUGCUGCUGAACCUGAUGGCGUUCGAGCGGUUGCACGCUGGCGCCGGCAACGAGGUGACCGCCUACGUCUUCUUCAUGGACAACAUGAUCGACACGGCGGCGGACGUGGCGCUGCUGACCUGCAGGCGGAUCGUCCACAACACGGUGGGCAGCGACAAGGCGGUGGCGAAGCUCUUCAACGGGAUGUCGAGGGACGUGGUGUUGGAGCCGCAGAGCGCGCUGGACGACGUGCACCGGCAGGUGAACGCCUACUGCCGGAAGAGGUGGAACCGCUGGCGCGCCAACCUAGUGCACACCUACUUCAAGAGCCCCUGGUCGUUCCUCUCCCUCGCCGCCGCUAUCUUCCUCCUCGGCAUGACCAUCAUGCAGACAGUCUACACCGUGCUACAGUUCUACCAGGAUGCCAGCACCAGCUAG